rnacentral:rRNA from 1 species
CCUACGGGUGGCUGCAGUGGGGAAUAUUGCGCAAUGGGCGAAAGCCUGACGCAGCAACGCCGCGUGCGGGAUGACGGCCUUCGGGUUGUAAACCGCUUUCACCCAUGACGAAGGGUUACCUUGACGGUAGUGGGAGAAGAAGCACCGGCUAACUACGUGCCAGCAGCCGCGGUGAUACGUAGGGUGCGAGCGUUGUCCGGAAUUAUUGGGCGUAAAGAGCUUGUAGGCGGUCCGUUGCGUCGGAAGUGAAAACUCAGGGCUCAACCCUGAGCCUGCUUUCGAUACGGGCAGACUUGAGGAAUGUAGGGGAGAACGGAAUUCCUGGUGGAGCGGUGGAAUGCGCAGAUAUCAGGAGGAACACCAGUGGCGAAGGCGGUUCUCUGGACAUUUCCUGACGCUGAGAAGCGAAAGCGUGGGGAGCAAACAGGAUUAGAUACCCCAGUAGUC